GAAGAAGAAGAAGAGCUCCCUUUGAUCCAAUACAGGAGAGGAAGUGGUAGGAUGCAGCUGCCGGUUCAUGGAUACCUCUGGAGUGCAUGGUAGUAACGUAGGCCUGCACUUGCAUGGGUUUGCAUGACCUGGGAGAUGAACCCACCAUUGUCUUCCUCUAUUGCUUGGAUUGAAGGGAGCUCUACACCUCUCUCUC
rfam:Oryza brachyantha chromosome 1, whole genome shotgun sequence.